GGCCCCAGAACAAGUGAUGCAAGACUGUCGUCAGCUCGUGUAGUGAGAUGAUAGGUUAAGCCCAGCAAAGAGCGCAACCCUCAACCUUAGUUGCCAGCAGUUAGUUGGGCACUAUAAGGGGACUGCCGGUGAUAAGCCGAGAGGAAGGUGGAGAAAACGUCAAGUCACCAUGGCCCUUACGGGAUGGGCUACACACGUGCUACAAUGGUGGUGACAGUGGGCAGCGAGACAGGGAUGUCGAGCUAAUCUCCAAAAGCCAUCUCAGUUCGGAUUGCACUCUGCAACUCGAGUGCAUGAAGUUGGAAUCGCUAGUAAUCGCAGAUCAGCAUGCUGCGGUGAAUACGUUCCCGGGCCUUGUACACACCGCCCGUCACACCAUGGGAGUUGGUUUUACCCGAAGGUAGUGCGCUAACCGCAAGGAGGCAGCUAACCACGGUAGGGUCAGCGACUUGGGAGGAGGCGUAACAAGGUA
rnacentral:rRNA from 1 species